GAGCUAUGGGGCUGGGAUGGAGCUAUGGGGCUGGGCUGGGAGCUAUGGGGUAGGAUAGGAGCUAUAUGGGGCUGGGAUGGGAGCUAUGGGGCAGGGAUGGGAGCUAUGGGGCUGGGAUGGAGCUAUGGGGCAGGGAUGGAGCUAUGGGGCUGGGAUGAGAGCUAUGGGGCAGGGAUAGGAGCCAUGGGGCUGGGAUUGCACCCAUCUGGACCCCAGCACAGCUGGAUUUCGGUGCCCCACACACGACUGGACCCCAGCCCAGCUGAAUUCAGAACAUCUGGACCCCAGCACAGCUGGAUUUCAUGGUCACAGUCACAGCUGGGCCAGAGCACGGCUGAAUUCAGCACAUCUGGCCCACGUCACAGCUGGAUCGCACACAUCUGGGCCCCAGCACAGCUGGAUAUCGGGGUCACUGUCACACCUGGGUCACAGCACAGCUGGAUUUCGGUGCCACGCGCACAUCUGGACCCCGGCCCAGCUGAAUUCAGCACAUCUGGGCCCCAGCACAGCUGGAUUUCAACGCCUCACACCCAUCUGGACCCCAGCACAGCUGGAUUUCGACAUCAUGCACCCAUCUGGACCCCAGCACAUCAGGAUGGCACCCAUCUGGCCCCCAGCACAGCUGGAUUUCAAUGCCACGCACCCAUCUUGACCCCAGCACAGCUGGAUUUUGACAUCAUGCACCCAUCUGGGCCCCAUCACAGCUGGAUUUCAAUGCCACGCACCCAUCUUGACCGCAGCACAGCUGGAUUUCGAUGCAACGUGCACAUCUGGACCCCAGCACAGCUGGAUUUCAAUGCCACACACUCAUCUGGAGCCCAGCACAGCUGGAUUUCGACACCUCACACCCAUCUGGACUGCAGCACAGCUGGAUGGCACCCAUCUGUACCCUGGCACAGCUGGAUUUCGACGCCUCACACCCAUCUGGACCCAGCACAGCUGGAUUUCAAUACCACCCAUCCAUCUUAA
rnacentral:lncRNA from 1 species